UCGUCAUCGUCCUCUCGGCCUCCGGCAUGGUUUCAGCCGCCGACAUCGCCUUCGCCCUCUUCUCCCUCGUCUACCUUCACCUCCUCUCCUCCGCCGCCUUCCCCCGCUCCUCCUCCUCCGCCGCCGCCCCCGAUCCCCCGAUCUUCGGCUUCCGCAACCCCCUCCUCGCCAUCUACGUCUCCGUCGGCGCCCUCCUCGGUCUCCUCCUCCCCAUCGCCUACAUACUAGACGGCGUUCUCGCCGGCGACAAGGAGGGCAUCAAGGCCGCCGCUCCCCACGUCUUCCUCCUCGCCGCCCAGGUCUUCCUCGAGAACGUCACCUUCUCCGGCCGCUUCUCCCUCCCCAUACGCGCCUUCGUCCCCAUCUUCUACAACACCAAGCGCCUCUUCACCCUCGCCGACUGGGUCCGCCACGAGAUCGGCAAGGUCGAGGACGAUCACGGCUCGCCGAG
rnacentral:lncRNA from 1 species